rnacentral:rRNA from 1 species
GACGAACGCUGGCGGCGUGCCUAACACAUGCAAGUCGAACGGAAAGGCCCUGCUUUUGUGGGGUGCUCGAGUGGCGAACGGGUGAGUAACACGUGAGUAACCUGCCCUUGACUUUGGGAUAACUUCAGGAAACUGGGGCUAAUCCCGGAUAGGAGCUCCUGCUGCAUGGUGGGGGUUGGAAAGUUUCGGCGGUUGGGGAUGGACUCGCGGCUUAUCAGCUUGUUGGUGGGGUAGUGGCUUACCAAGGCUUUGACGGGUAGCCGGCCUGGGAGGGUGACCGGCCACAUUGGGACUGAGAUACGGCCCAGACUCCUACGGGAGGCAGCAGUGGGGAAUAUUGCACAAUGGGCGGAAGCCGGAUGCAGCAACGCCGCGGGCGGGAUGACGGCCUUCGGGUUGUAAACCGCUGUCGCCUGUGACGAAGCGUUAGUGACGGUAACGGGUAAAGAAGCACCGGCUAACUACGUG